rnacentral:rRNA from 1 species
CCUGCCCACUGAGUUUUAAAUGGCCGCAGUACACUGACUGUGCAAAGGUAGCAUAAUAAUUAGUCUUUUAAUUGAAGGCUGGAAUGAAUGGUUGGACGAAAUAUUGACUGUUUCAUUUAAAUUUCUUAUAGAAUUUUAUUUUUUAGUCAAAAAGCUAAAAUCUUGUUAAAAGACGAGAAGACCCUAUAAAGCUUUAUAUCUAUCUAUUGGCUGAUUUAUAAGAUUAGUUUUCUUAGGCAAUAGGUAGCUAUUUUAUUGGGGUGAUAUUAAAAUUUAAAAAACUUUUAAUUUUUUAAAAACAUUAAUUUAUGGGCAAUUGAUCCACUUGUUGUGAUUAGAAGAAUAAGUUACUUUAGGGAUAACAGCGUAAUUUUUUUGGAGAGUUCUUAUCGAUAAAAAAGAUUGCGACCUCGAUGUUGGAUUAAGAGAUACUUUUAGGUGUAGCCGCUUAAAGGGUAAGUCUGUUCGACUUUUAAUUUCUUACAUGAUC